rnacentral:sRNA from 1 species
GAGAAAUCAAACUCGGAUGUUUUGGCAUCGGAAGCGCCGGAAAAACCACAUUUUUGAAAGUUCUCAAGGGAGGUAAGCAAGUGCGCUCCGUCGCUCAAUCCGAAAUUAUUUUAAAAUUUGAAUUUAAUCCAGAAGAUCCGCGGGAUUUGCUCCGUACCAACGGGUUCUCCACAGUGAAAAUGGAGUAUGAUGAGACUUUUCAUUUGACGAUCUACGAUGUUGGCGGGGAUAAGGGAAUACGUGGAAUUUGGAGCAAUUAUUAUGCUGAGGUGUGUGUGUGUGUGUGCAUGCGAUAGGGCGCACUUUCACACUGGAGAAUUUUUGAAAACUCUUAUUACACGUGGAUCUACAAAAAAUGCGGGACUGAUUUCGCAUGGUUAAGAGCGUUUUGACGUCACAUUUUUUUGGGAGAAAAAUUCCCGCAUUUUUGUAGAUCAAACCGUGAUUAUUAUAAUUAUUCUAAAUAAAUUAAGGUUCACGGAAUCAUCUAUGUGAUUGAUUAUUCAACGGAUGAGACAUUCACCGAGUCGAUUGAG